UUUCUUCUUCCUCUUUGU
rnacentral:sRNA from 1 species